UUAUCCUGUCCCUUGAUUGGUCCUCUGGUCAGGUGUUCCUCAGGUUACUGAGCUUGUUAACCCUUUACAGGUAAAAGGGACUUUAACCCUUAACUAUCUGUUUAUGACACAGGCUAGAUGGAGAUGGCCAUGGACCUUGCAGACCCUUCUCCAACACACGUAUUGGGUGCUGCAGGGAGGUGAAGGAUGAAAUGGUUGGCACAGAGAUGAAUCAGGCACAAGAGUUGAACAGUGGUGUGUGCUCAGACCCUGAUGGAAAAGGUUUUGUGGGAUGCAGCGGCACUAGAAAAAAGGCUACAGAAGAAGCUAGUGGCUUCAGAACAAGGCUCUGCAAGCAGUUGUUAAUGAGAAUGAGUAGCUGCAGGAAGAGAAGGAUGGCCUCUGAGUUCUGGUGAGCGAGCUGGCUGGGGAGCUGGAGAUGCCACGCGCCCAGGCUGUACGAGUGCAUAGCCGGUGACAGCGACGAGAUGGUGAGGGAUGAAGAUUGGACAAGAGUAGAACUUGCCCCCGGGUUGGGCCGGAUUUUAAGGAGGAGGGAUUAUUUCACAGGGUGGUUGGCCUGUGGUUGCAAAGCCUGGAGCUAGGCCAAAUUGAUGACCAAGUGAGCCCCACCUGAGACGAAAGAAGGAAAAACAGCAGCAAAAGUACAGAAGCAGCCCUAGCUGUUCAGUAUACGGCCUUGGGCCAAAACCUGGAGUCCAGGGGUAGGACUGGGUUCUCCCACCGUCCGUAAGGAAGGGGACAUAGAAGACCAUAGAAACCCAAGAGGGGCAGGCCAAGCCGAAAUCAGGCUGAGGAAGAGCUCCCCAGGAGGGUGGAAGCCCUAGUUUCUGUUCAAGACAUUUUUGGACUUUGUUUGGAAGGAGCAUGACCCAGGAAGGAGUGGACCAAAGGACAGUCACCUGGCUGGAGGGCUGAGUUCCCAGCCAACAAGCUGCAAGAGUGAUUAUCAACGGGGUUGCUAGCCCAGCUAGAAAGCUGUGACACGAGGCCUGGCCAGGAUUUAGCGUCUCUGUCCCACAGAUGUAUGCUGCAGCCAGCCCAGCUCAGAGAGCAGUGGGGAGAGAUGAUCUCAUCCUGUCACACCAAGCAACAUGGGUCCCAUUGAGGCUUAGAUGGAAGAUCCCAUUCAUCUCCUGGAGAGGAUGUGUCCGGGAUCCUGGAGACUGUUUCCUGCCGGAGGUUUGAGCGGGGAGAGAUCAGUCACUGUCAUGACCCCUGGGUCAUUAACUCGGGUCUGCAGGGCUCAUGGGAGCAGCCACACUACAGCAGGCCACCUGGAAGCCUACUAAAAACUGCUUACCUAGGACUUAACGAAGUCUUUUGCUUCUGCUCUUCCAAUAUUCUGACCCAGCUGACUCUCGACUCCUGUCUUCUGAGUGUGGACUCUGCCUCUGACCACUAGGUCUGGCUGCCCGUGACCCAGCCAUGACACUGACUUUUCUACAAUUCCUCCAGUGCCCUUUUCUGCUCUCCAGCUCUGCUCUCCCAGCAAGACACACCAAUCACCUGGCUCCCAAAGUCCUGGUUGCUGCUAUUCAAGGGCUCGGGGUAGUGCUUGUAUGGCCCCCUCCCCCACCACAGCUGCUUUUCCUAAGGGAUUCUCCCUAGUCCAGAGGAGAAAUCUGCUCUUCUCUUAGAAUCAGUCCUGGCAGCAAUUCAGGAAGUCAUAGUAGGGACGGUCUGCUAAGCUCCCUCUGCAAUGCCACUGUCAGAGACCAUUACUGGUGGGUGCCAAGUGACUGUGCAGGGAGCUCCUUGAGAGACUCCUAGGGGCAGGGUAGUCAUGUUUCACGCUGACCUCUGAAAGCCAUGCAAAGAGUGCAGCAUUGACAAGACUCUCCUGCUGUAACAAAGGGUUUCUGUUCUCCUACAUAGUCAGACAGUGAGGCCAGUUUUCAGAAUGUGGAAGAGCUGUUUGAUGAUGAGUUGGAGGAUUCACCGUAUAGGUGGCAGCAGCUGCAGAUCCUGGAGUCCCUAUGGUAGGGUUACCAUGCAUCCAGAUUUUUGGUUUUUAAAUAGCCAUCUGGGAGGAAUUUGUAAAAAUCUAAAAAGGUCCGGGAUUUCCCUCCAAAUGCAGAGCGCGAUGUGGCUGACACGACGGUUAGGCCGUAUUGAUCCACUUGCAUCCAGGCCUCCAGCAGCCAGUGCCCCUUCCCUG